rnacentral:rRNA from 1 species
AUUGAACGCUGGCGGCAUGCCUUACACAUGCAAGUCGACCGGUAACAGGUCUUCGGAUGCUGCCGAGUGGCGAACGGGUGAGUAAUACACGGGAACGGGCCUAGGAGUGGGGGAUAACUACCCGAAAGAGUGGCUAAUACCGCAUGAGAUCUACGGAUGCAAGCGGGGGAUCGCAAGACCGGAUGAGAUUAGAGCGGCCGAUGGCAGAGUAGGUAGUUGGUGGGAUAAAAGCUUACCAAGCCGACGAUCUGUAGCUGGUCUGAGAGGACGAUCAGCCACACUGGGACUGAGAAACGGCCCAGACUCCUACGGGAGGCAGCAGUGGGGAAUUUUGGACAAUGGGCGCAAGCCUGAUCCAGCAAUGCCGCGUGCAGGAUGAAGGCCUUCGGGUUGUAAACUGCUUUUGUACGGAACGAAAAGCCCCGGGUUAAUACCCUGGGGUCAUGACGGUACCGUAAGAAUAAGCACCGGCUAACUACGUGCCAGCAGCCGCAGUAA